UGAGCCUACAACAUGUGUGACACUUAUUUCUAUCCCCAACAAUAUAAUUUUAUAACACACAUGAAUAUGUGUGACACUUGCUUGCAAAAUAUCACCGCUUGAUCAAUCCUGAGAUAGCGAAGUGAUCUUGAUCGAUCGACUAUUGGUUCCAAUCAGUGCUCAUGUAUGUACAUAAUGCAGAUUUCGUUGAAGUUGAGGAAGAAACUAGCGUUCAAAUUUGAGGAGUGAAAUGCUACCAGGGUAAAACUGCAAGCUUGUCAUCAUUGACGAUCUCCACAUUCAGGCUACUAAAGGACCUGAGAAGCUCUACUAUGAAUCUGCCAUUUCCUUCAAUCUCUUGUGGUCACAUCUCUCUUAGAGGAAUCCUGGGAGCUACCUAUGA